GUCUCUGUGGCGCAAUCGGUUAGCGCGUUCGGCUGUUAACCGAAAGGUUGGUGGUUCGAAUCCACCCAGGGACG
rfam:Octopus bimaculoides Scaffold114047_contig_95, whole genome shotgun sequence.